AGAACUUCUUGAUACUGAGUUAUGAAGAGCUGAAACGGGACACAAGAAGCACUGUAGAGAAGAUCUGCCAAUUCCUGGGCAAGAAAUUAGAACCAGAAGAA